CCUACGGGUGGCAGCAGUGGGGAAUAUUGCACAAUGGGCGCAAGCCUGAUGCAGCCAUGCCGCGUGUGUGAAGAAGGGCUUCGGGUUGUAAAGCACUUUCAGCGGGGAGGAAGGCGGUGAGGUUAAUAACCUCAUCGAUUGACGUUACCCGCAGAAGAAGCACCGGCUAACUCCGUGCCAGCAGCCGCGGUAAUACGGAGGGUGCAAGCGUUAAUCGGAAUUACUGGGCGUAAAGCGCACGCAGGCGGUCUGUCAAGUCGGAUGUGAAAUCCCCGGGCUCAACCUGGGAACUGCAUUCGAAACUGGCAGGCUAGAGUCUUGUAGAGGGGGGUAGAAUUCCAGGUGUAGCGGUGAAAUGCGUAGAGAUCUGGAGGAAUACCGGUGGCGAAGGCGGCCCCCUGGACAAAGACUGACGCUCAGGUGCGAAAGCGUGGGGAGCAAACAGGAUUAGAUACCCUAGUAGUC
rnacentral:rRNA from 1 species